rnacentral:rRNA from 1 species
GACGAGGGACCCUAGCGUUGUUCGGAAUCAUUGGGCGUAAAGCGGGUGUAGGUGGCUUUGUAAGUCAGGUGUGAAAGCCCUGGGCUCAACCCAGGAAGUGCAUUUGAUACUGCGAAGCUUGAGUGCCGGAGAGGUUACUGGAAUACCUGGUGUAGUGGUGAAAUACGCAGAUAUCAGGAGGAACACCGAUGGCGAAGGCAGGUCUCUGGGCAUUAACUGACGCUGAGGAGCGAAAGCAUGGGGAGCGAACAGG